CCCUUAGAUGUUCUGGGCCGCACGCGUGCUACACUGAGUGGAUCAGCGGGUCAGGUUGCGCGAAAGCGUUUCCUAAUCUUGAAAUCCGCUCGUGAUGGGGAUUGACGGUUGCAAUUUUCUGUCAUGAACGAGGAAUACCUUGUAAGCGCGAGUCAUCAUCCCGCGCUGAAUACGUCCCUGCCCUUUGUACACACCGCCCGUCGCUCCUACCGAUUGAGUGGUCCGGUGAGGCUUUGGGAUCUGAGCGGAAAGAGCGUUUCGCUCGUUCUGCCCGGAAAACUCAGUCGAACCUUAUCAUUUAGAGGAGGGAGAAGUCGUAACA
rnacentral:rRNA from 1 species